rnacentral:rRNA from 1 species
AAAUUGAAGAGUUUGAUCAUGGCUCAGAUUGAACGCUGGCGGCAGGCCUAACACAUGCAAGUCGAACGGUAACAGGAAGCAGCUUGCUGCUUCGCUGACGAGUGGCGGACGGGUGAGUAAUGUCUGGGAAACUGCCUGAUGGAGGGGGAUAACUACUGGAAACGGUGGCUAAUACCGCAUAACGUCGCAAGACCAAAGAGGGGGACCUUCGGGCCUCUUGCCAUCAGAUGUGCCCAGAUGGGAUUAGCUGGUUGGUGAGGUAACGGCUCACCAAGGCGACGAUCCCUAGCUGGUCUGAGAGGAUGACCAGCCACACUGGAACUGAGACACGGUCCAGACUCCUACGGGAGGCAGCAGUGGGGAAUAUUGCACAAUGGGCGCAAGCCUGAUGCAGCCAUGCCGCGUGUAUGAAGAAGGCCUUCGGGUUGUAAAGUACUUUCAGCGGGGAGGAAGGUGUUGUGGUUAAUAACUGCAGCAAUUGACGUUACCCGCAGAAGAAGCACCGGCUAACUCCGUGCCAGCAGCCGCGGUAAUACGGAGGGUGCAAGCGUUAAUCGGAAUUACUGGGCGUAAAGCGCACGCAGGCGGUCUGUCAAGUCGGAUG